UACGUAGGUGGCGAGCGUUGUCCGGAUUUACUGGACGUAAAGGGAGCGUAGGCGGACUUUUAAGUGAGAUGUGAAAUACCCGGGCUCAACUUGGGUGCUGCAUUUCAAACUGGAAGUCUAGAGUGCAGGAGAGGAGAAUGGAAUUCCUAGUGUAGCGGUGAAAUGCGUAGAGAUUAGGAAGAACACCAGUGGCGAAGGCGAUUCUCUGGACUGUAACUGACGCUGAGGCACGAAAGCGUGGGGAGCAAACAGGAUUAGAUAUCCCU
rnacentral:rRNA from 1 species